AUUGGCUACUGAUACAGGAAGUCUACAUUUCCCGAGCUUUCUCUUUCAGGCAUCACCAACAUACCGUCGAAAUAUUGUCGCGUAGAGAAUAGAUUGAUAGGAUGACGUCUUUAUAUAUUUUCAUGACAUGAUUUAUGUGCCAUAGCCUACAUGCAUCGAUAAGAACUAUACAUCAUACGUUCAUGUACGCAUAAAAUGUAAACGCGUUAGUCACACCAUGCCAUAAGAAUUACACUGUAAAAACAUGUCCAGAGAUUCUCCCAAUGUAAACAUUCCACUGAAGUUUACAUAGCUCCUUUCUCGAUUGCUCUUCCUGGCUACUUCAUCAUGUGGCUGUCUCCUUGUUCGCAGGGAAUUGCCAAUGUCCGAGCCUUGAGUUGAUGCUGAGCCCGGCGACAAUCACCGAGGUCUCUCAUAUCUUCUACCACGGGUUCGCUUUCGUCCCGGUGCCCACCUCGGCCGCCGUGACAUUGCACCUGGCGUUGGGCUCGCAGGUGAUUCCGGGAACACUUCCACGUGUCGCCUUCAUCAAUGGGGCGGGCACCUGUCACCUUGUCCGUCCAGAAUGUGGACUGUCAGUAUAGAAUUGUAUGCGUGUCCUACGUGUGUCCUACCUGGGUCAGUUCACCUCCGAGGCAGGGAUUGAACUGCAGUCAGAUGCACAUCCACAACCCCUUCUGCUGGAGAAUGACAUGUCAUCCCUACAGGCCAGUGUGGAGCUCCCCUUCUCCCCUCCCUCCUCAGGGCCUGAGGGUGCCCCUGCCCUCUGUCUGCUACUGGAGGAGGACCAGGAACCACUGGAGUCUCACACACAGAUUGAGCCAAAGAAACGUAAAGGUGGGUGACCAAAGGGAAAGAAGAGGCAACCUCAGAGAGAGUUAACUUCCCCCAGAGUUCCAACAACAGGAGGAGUUUGGGAAGGACAGAGGCAGCCGGCAGCAAGCUCCAGGGAUGGAGAGAAGCCCUGUGGAGGAGGCAGAGGAGGCUCGUACGUUGGGUCUGUCCUCGCUGGACAUCAGUGUGCUGCAGGAGCUGCUGCUCGGACACAUACUGACCAGCACUGACCGCUAAUUGCCAUGACCACAUGUAUGACUUGGACAAAGCACAUUUCUAAAUAGGCUGAAGCUGCGGAUCCAUAGCUAACCUCCCCAUCCCGCUUGCCUGGAUCCGUUUUCCCCAGAGCUGAAGAGCCGAAUUACGUUCUGCACAUGUUUCCUUACCUAMAUUUAGAUCUUCUUGAGUUAUACAGUGUUCUUUUGAAUUAUGGACAGUGAGCGAAUUUUAGAGCAGUUGGUGGAAACAAUUUGUCGCAUAGUCUACCUGUGUUAAGUUUCAAUCACAGCACAUAUUUUGCCUAGUGGCGCGGGCUAUUGAGGUUUUGCCAAAAAUGUGACCAUUUGCACAAACAUCCUAAAGUUUCAUAAGAAAUUUGAUUGUUUUCUGUCUCACACUAACCYUAUACUAUGCUAUUAUAUUUGGUUAUGUUAUAUAGAAUCAAUAAGUGGUCUUGCAGACAUUGCUUCAGCUUUGAUAUAACUUUAUUAAACAAAUACCAUUUAUGUCAGACUAGCCUGAUCUCUACGAGACUGUGCAACAAGUAGAGGAUCCCGCACAUGCACAGAAGUCGUGAAGAUGGCUCGACAAAACCUAUUCCCCCUCAGGAGACUGAAAAGAUUUGGCAUGGGUCCUCAGAUCCUCAACAGGUU